rnacentral:rRNA from 1 species
UACGGAGGGUGCGAGCGUUGUUCGGAAUCACUGGGCGUAAAGGGCGUGUAGGCGGUCCGCUAAGUCUGAUGUGAAAGCCCGGGGCUCACCCCCGGAAGGGCAUUGGAAACUGACGGACUCGAGUCACGAAGAGGAGGGUGGAAUUCCUGGUGUAGCGGUGAAAUGCGUAGAUAUCAGGAGGAACACCGGUGGCGAAGGCGGCCCUCUGGACGGUGACUGACGCUGAGACGCGAAAGCGUGGGGAGCAAACAGG